CCUACGGGAGGCUGCAGUGAGGAAUAUUGGUCAAUGGCCGGAAGGCUGAACCAGCCAAGCCGCGUGAAGGACGACGGUGCCAAGCAUUGUAAACUUCUUUUAUAUGGGAAUAAAGUGAGGAACGUGUUCCUUUUUGUAUGUACCAUAUGAAUAAGCAUCGGCUAACUCCGUGCCAGCGGCCGCGGUAAUACGGAGGAUGCGAGCGUUUUCCGGAUUUAUUGGGUUUAAGGGGUUCGUAGGUGGUUAAUUAAGUCAGCGGUGAAAGUUUGUGGCUCAACCAUAAAAUUGCCGUUGAAACUGGUUGACUUGAGUAUAUUUGAGGUAGGCGGAAUGCGUGGUGUAGCGGUGAAAUGCAUAGAUAUCACGCAGAACUCCGAUUGCGAAGGCAGCUUACUAAUCUAUAACUGACACUGAAGCACGAAAGCGUGGGGAUCAAACAGGAUUAGAUACCCUAGUAGUC
rnacentral:rRNA from 1 species